rnacentral:hammerhead_ribozyme from 1 species
AUCCAACUGGCGAGUCCCAAAUAGGACGAAAUGCGCAUCCUGGAU